GGUUUGAUUAUGGCUCAGAUUGAACGCUACUGUGGAUGUUUGCUGCCAUGCUGAACGGCAGCACGGACUUCCGGUCUGGUGGCGAGUGGCGAACGGGUGAGUAAUGUAUCGGAACGUGCCUAGUAGCGUAAUAACUACGCGAAAGCGUAGCUAAUACCGCAUACGCCCUUCGGGGGAAAGCGGGGGACCUUCGCCUCGCACUAUUAGAGCGGCCGAUAUCGGAUUAGCUAGUUGGUGGGGUAACGGCUCACCAAGGCACGAUCCGGUAGCUGGUUUGAGGACGACCAGCCACACUGGGACUGAGACACGGCCCAGACUCCUACGGGAGGCAGCAGUGGGGAAUUUUGGACAAUGGGGGAAAACUGAUCCAGCCAUCCCGCGUGUGCGAUGAAGGCCUUCGGGUUGUAAAGCACUUUUGGCAGGGAAGAAACGGCACGGGAUAAUACCCCGUGCAACUGACGGUACCUGCAGGAAUAAGCACCGGCUAACCGUGCCAGCAGCCGCGGUAAUACGUAGGGUGCAAGCGUUAAUCGGAAUUACUGGCGUAAAGCGUGUGCAGGCGGUUCGGAAAGAAAGAUGAAACUGAGCUUAACUUUGGAACUGCAUUUUUUAAUUACCGAGCUAGAGUGUGUCAGAGGGAGGUGGAAUUCCGCGUGUAGCAGUGAAAUGCGUAGAUAUGCGGAGGCAUCGAUGGCGAAGGCAGCCUCCUGGGAUAACACUGACGCUCAUGCACGAAAGCGUGGGGAGCAAACAGGAUUAGAUACCCUUGGUAGUCCACGCCCUAAACGAUGUCAACUAGCUGUUGGGGCUUGCCCUAUAGCGCAGCUAACGCGUGAAGUUGACCGCCUGGGGAGUACGGUCGCAAGAGAUUAAAACUCAAAGGAAUUGACGGGGACUCCGCACAAGUGUGGCGGAUGAUGUGGAUUAAUUCGAUGCAACGCGAAAAACCUUACCUACCCUUGACAUGUCUGGAAUCCUGAAGAGAUUUGGGAGUGCUCGCAAGAGAACCGGAACACAGGUGCUGUAUAUUAAGCCGUCAGGCUCGUGUCGUGGAUGUUGCUUAAGCCCCGCAACGAGCGCAACCCUUGUCAUUAGUUGGCGCCGAAAGGGCACUCUGAAUGAGACUGCCGGUGACAAAACCGGAGGAAGGUGGGGAUGACGUCAAGUCCUCAUGGCCCUUGCGGCAGGGCUUCACACGUCAUACAAUGGUCGGGACAGAGGGUCGCCAACCCGCGAGGGGGAGCCAAUCCCAGAAACCCGAUCGUAGUCCGGAUCGCAGUCUGCAACUCGACUGCGUGAAGUCGGAAUCGCUAGUAAUCAUGGAUCAGCAUGUCGCGGUGAAUACGUUCCUGGGUCUUGUACACUGCCCGUCAUGACCAUGGGAGUGGGUUUUACUCAGAAGUAGUUAGCCUAACCGUAAGUGGAGGGCGAUUACCACGGUAGGAUUCAUGACUGGGGUGAAGUCGUGUCAGGUAG
rnacentral:rRNA from 1 species